UACGAAGGGGCCUAGCGUUGUUCGGAAUCACUGGGCGUAAAGCGCACGUAGGCGGAUUUGUAAGUCAGGGGUGAAAUCCCGGGGCUCAACCUCGGAACUGCCUUUGAUACUGCGAAUCUUGAGUCCGAUAGAGGUGGGUGGAAUUCCUAGUGUAGAGGUGAAAUUCGUAGAUAUUAGGAAGAACACCAGUGGCGAAGGCGGCCCACUGGAUCGGUACUGACGCUGAGGUGCGAAAGCGUGGGGAGCAAACAGG
rnacentral:rRNA from 1 species